rnacentral:lncRNA from 1 species
AUAUAAAUUGUGACCUUAAUCUACUUUUAAAAUCGUGAUCGUAAUUAAGAGUCGACCGGAUUUUGCCUCGUAGCUUACAUUGCAGAUAAUAUAAUGUGAAAAAAAUAGUCCAAAUCCAGUGCCUCUCGCAUUGCAGGCCAUCCAGACGUAUUCUCCCCCUUCCACGGGAAGGAAACAAUCGAUUUUUGAAGAAAAGGUCAGUGAUCGGAAAAUUCUUCAAUUCGGCAUUACUCUUCAUAAGUUGAAUGUCCUCCCGCUCUGGGAAUUAUAAGAGGUCUAAGGAUGUACGGGUCAUUUUGGUGCUGACGUCAAUAGAAAAAUUUCAAAAGGGCCGAUAUUUAGGUAUUUCCUGUGUCUGUUUAGAGAUAGAUAAAAGAAAUUCUGCGUAAAUAUCUUGAUAAACCGAUCCGCCUUUUUAUCAGGUUUUCUUCUUAGGGUGUUACUGAUUUAAUUCUCUUUUUCCAGUAAUUAGAAUUUUAUUUAUAAACUAUUUAAGCGUUCCUCUUCAUCCAUUUAUAAGUAAGCUUCUUCUUGUAACAUUGUUAUUACGUUUCAUCUUUGAUAAAUUUCCAGAACUCUCUACACACUUAGCAUUCUUCUUUCACAUCUCAAUACUUUGAAUAAUACAGAAAUAUUUAUAGAAAUGGUUAAAAACGAAGUUCUCAAUGAAGGCAUCCGAACAUCUGAUUACAUUUCUGAACAUCUGAUUUUCUAUUAUUAAAGCUAUACGUGGAAUGUUGAUAUAAAAACAACGCAAGGUUACUAACCGGAUAUUCAGCUACACCACAAGUUCAUCCGAUGGUCAAGUUAAAAAAAUGUUAUCUUCUAGCAAUUGAAACCCCCUCACCAUAGAAAUAAUUCCUAAAAUUUUGAAAAUAUUUAAAUUAUUUUGCCUAUAAAUUCGUUUUCUAGUCGGAAGACUUUAUCAUUAUAAUUGGAAUUGUUUAAUAAUGCAUAAAUUAUACACACUAAUUUGCUAUUAUUAUUAUUUUAAUUGGCCUAAAGGUAAGGCUUUUAUACUUUUAUUUGCAAAACAGAGAAACACGUUUUAUAAACGUCAUUUAGAACGUGGUUAUAUUAAAGAAAAAUUUUCUACUCAGGGCAUUUCUAUUCUUUCGGAACCCAUUGUAAACUGAGGGACUGCAAAAGGGAGAAGAGAAAAAAUUGCAAAUAUUGUUCUCGGUAAAAGAAUACUUGUGAUUUUCAAGCAGGUAGUAAAGUAGAGCCACGAAUGAAGAGACAAGAAGGUAAUUUACUUUCUUAGAAAGAAAUGGGGGUAGGAAAGGGAGAAGGUCCUCGGGUGAGAGAGAACACGCAAAACAUUCAUCAAGAAUCCGCACUGGUUGCGAUCGGAGAAAACAAUUUGGUCGAUGUAGAGUCUUGGCCACCAGGUGUCUCAGCGGAUCUACUAAAUAACAGUGAUCGACAGACGGAACGCUGUUAGUAUCACGCGACGUAGUACGGUUCCUAAUCGUCGCAUCCAUUAGGGUGUUCGGGUGCACCGUUAUCUGUGCUCUGCUGCUGCUCCCGGACGUCCAUUAGCUGGCCACAAUCCUCUCGCCUCUUUGCAACAAAUCAAUUUAUAUGGCUGCCUUCUGUCCAAAAUUCCCUUUUAGAAGCAAGCGACUAAUUAUAAGGUCGUAAAACACCGAUAUAUUCUGUACAACGAAAGCGGAAAAUUUUAAAUCUUUCUUUCUUUUACUUAAAUACAACUGAUAAGGGUUGAUAGUGAUUUUAAUCUCAUAUUUCCAAUAACGAAUACAUUCGCAACAUCGUUAAACUCCUCAUAAAAAUCUCGAUGUUUAGACGAUACGACAAUAUAAAAAUGUUUCCUUUCUUUUCAAAUAAUUAAAAGAUUAAAACCAUUUAAAUUCAGUUAUAACUUUCCUUCUUCAAUUCUUGAAAUGGAGAAAGUUCAAAAAAGAGAAUGAUGUGUUCAGUUUAAACUGUUAAAGAGCUACUAACAUCAAAAGGGUGUUUGAAAUCCUUCAAGUCUCAUAUGUAUGAAUCGAUUAUAGAAUUUAAUUUCGAAUAAAUUCGUUUGCAUUUAUGUGAAAUUAGAUUCUACAAUCAUACAAAA